AGGAUGAACGCUGGCGGCGUGCUUAACACAUGCAAGUCGAACGAUGAAGGCUGGAGCUUGCUCUGGCUGGAUUAGUGGCGAACGGGUGAGUAACACGUGAGUAACCUGCCCCAGACUCUGGGAUAAGCGCUGGAAACGGCGUCUAAUACCGGAUACGAGCUUCCACCGCAUGGUGAGGAGCUGGAAAGAAUUUCGGUCUGGGAUGGACUCGCGGCCUAUCAGCUUGUUGGUGAGGUAAUGGCCCACAAGGCGACGACGGGUA
rnacentral:rRNA from 1 species